rnacentral:rRNA from 1 species
AGACCCGAAACCCGGUGAUCUAGCCAUGGGCAGGUUGAAGGUUGGGUAACACUAACUGGAGGACCGAACCGACUAAUGUUGAAAAAUUAGCGGAUGACCUGUGGCUGGGGGUGAAAGGCCAAUCAAACCGGGAGAUAGCUGGUUCUCCCCGAAAGCUAUUUAGGUAGCGCCUCGUGAAUUCAUCUCCGGGGGUAGAGCACUGUUUCGGCUAGGGGGCCAUCCCGGCUUACCAACCCGAUGCAAACUGCGAAUACCGGAGAAUGUUAUCACGGGAGACACACGGCGGGUGCUAACGUCCGUCGUGAAGAGGGAAACAACCCAGACCGCCAGCUAAGGUCCCAAAGUCAUGGUUAAGUGGGAAACGAUGUGGGAAGGCCCAGACAGCCAGGAUGUUGGCUUAGAAGCAGCCAUCAUUUAAAGAAAGCGUAAUAGCUCACUGGUCGAGUCGGCCUGCGCGGAAGAUGUAACGGGGCUAAACCAUGCACCGAAGCUGCGGCAGCGACGCUGAUGCGUUGUUGGGUAGGGGAGCGUUCUGUAAGCCUGUGAAGGUGGCCUGUGAGGGUUGCUGGAGGUAUCAGAAGUGCGAAUGCUGACAUAAGUAACGAUAAAGCGGGUGAAAAGCCCGCUCGCCGGAAGACCAAGGGUUCCUGUCCAACGUUAAUCGGGGCAGGGUGAGUCGACCCCUAAGGCGAGGCCGAAAGGCGUAGUCGAUGGGAAACGGGUUAAUAUUCCCGUACUUGGUGUUACUGCGAAGGGGGGACGGAGAAGGCUAUGUUGGCCGGGCGACGGUUGUCCCGGUUUAAGCGUGUAGGUGUGUGUUCCAGGUAAAUCCGGUUCACUUUAACACUGAGGCGUGAUGACGAGGCACUACGGUGCUGAAGCAACAAAUGCCCUGCUUCCAGGAAAAGCCUCUAAGCAUCAGGUAACAUCAAAUCGUACCCCAAACCGACACAGGUGGUCAGGUAGAGAAUACCAAGGCGCUUGAGAGAACUCGGGUGAAGGAACUAGGCAAAAUGGUGCCGUAACUUCGGGAGAAGGCACGCUGACACGUAGGUGAAGUGAUUUACUCAUGGAGCUGAAGUCAGUCGAAGAUACCAGCUGGCUGCAACUGUUUAUUAAAAACACAGCACUGUGCAAACACGAAAGUGGACGUAUACGGUGUGACGCCUGCCCGGUGCCGGAAGGUUAAUUGAUGGGGUCAGCGCAAGCGAAGCUCCUGAUCGAAGCCCCGGUAAACGGCGGCCGUAACUAUAACGGUCCUAAGGUAGCGAAAUUCCUUGUCGGGUAAGUUCCGACCUGCACGAAUGGCGUAAUGAUGGCCAGGCUGUCUCCACCCGAGACUCAGUGAAAUUGAACUCGCUGUGAAGAUGCAGUGUACCCGCGGCAAGACGGAAAGACCCCGUGAACCUUUACUAUAGCUUGACACUGAACAUUGAGCCUUGAUGUGUAGGAUAGGUGGGAGGCUUUGAAGUGUGGACGCCAGUCUGCAUGGAGCCGACCUUGAAAUACCACCCUUUAAUGUUUGAUGUUCUAACGUGGACCCGUAAUCCGGGUUGCGGACAGUGUCUGGUGGGUAGUUUGACUGGGGCGGUCUCCUCCUAAAGAGUAACGGAGGAGCACGAAGGUUGGCUAAUCCUGGUCGGACAUCAGGAGGUUAGUGCAAUGGCAUAAGCCAGCUUGACUGCGAGCGUGACGGCGCGAGCAGGUGCGAAAGCAGGUCAUAGUGAUCCGGUGGUUCUGAAUGGAAGGGCCAUCGCUCAACGGAUAAAAGGUACUCCGGGGAUAACAGGCUGAUACCGCCCAAGAGUUCAUAUCGACGGCGGUGUUUGGCACCUCGAUGUCGGCUCAUCACAUCCUGGGGCUGAAGUAGGUCCCAAGGGUAUGGCUGUUCGCCAUUUAAAGUGGUACGCGAGCUGGGUUUAGAACGUCGUGAGACAGUUCGGUCCCUAUCUGCCGUGGGCGCUGGAGAACUGAGGGGGGCUGCUCCUAGUACGAGAGGACCGGAGUGGACGCAUCACUGGUGUUCGGGUUGUCAUGCCAAUGGCACUGCCCGGUAGCUAAAUGCGGAAGAGAUAAGUGCUGAAAGCAUCUAAGCACGAAACUUGCCCCGA